UACGGAGGGUGCAAGCGUUACUCGGAAUUACUGGGCGUAAAGCGAGCGCAGGCGGCUUAUUAAGUCAGGUGUGAAAGCCCGGGGCUCAACCCCGGAACUGCACCUGAAACUGGUAGGCUUGAGGAUGAGAGAGGAAAGUAGAAUUUCUGGUGUAGAGGUGAAAUUCGUUGAUAUCAGAAGGAAUACCCGUGGCGAAGGCGGCUUUCUGGCUCAUUUCUGACGCUGAGGCUCGAAAGUGUGGGUAGCAAACAGG
rnacentral:rRNA from 1 species